AUUGAUGAAGAAAAUAUUAGAAAGAACGUAAAAGUUUCUUCUUCUCCAUUCCAAGUUGAAGAAGAUCAAUCAGGGAAAUAUGGAAGAUUGAAGCUGUAAGAUUUUCCAA